CGGACGGGUGAGUAACGCUGGGUAACCUACCCUGUACACACAGAUAACAUACCGAAAGGUAUGCUAAUACGGGAUAAUAUAUUUGAGAGGCAUCUCUUGAAUAUCAAAGGUGAGCCAGUACAGGAUGGACCCGCGUCUGAUUAGCUAGUUGGUAAGGUAACGGCUUACCAAGGCGACGAUCAGUAGCCGACCUGAGAGGGUGAUCGGCCACAUUGGAACUGAGACACGGUCCAA
rnacentral:rRNA from 1 species